UGGUUGGAGGCGGUGGGUUGGUGGUGGGGAGGGUGGUGGUGAUGGUGGUUGGAGGGGGUGGGUUGGUGCAUCAAAUUUGGUUUUACGUACAAACAUCCACUUGGCUUCUAGAGACGUAUCCCCAAGUUUCACUGGGCCGUAAGGCUUAUGGUACCUACUUUGCAGCUUAAACAAAUAUAUUAAUAUGGGUAACUGCUGAUGUACGUGAAGGCCAAUGGAGAAGUGACAGAACCUUGAGCAAGAUUUAACAGCAUGUUACUUCAGCCUCAUCAGUUAAGUUACUUGUACAGUAUAUCUUAGCUAGUAUCUUUAUCCAAUAAACCACUCGACAAUGCUCCUACACUGGGCAGUGGAGGGUGUGUGUGUGGGGGGUGGGGGCGCCUAAUAGGUCUGUGUGUAGACCUAGUGAUCAGUGUGUGGGGCCUGGCGGACACUCUUGGAGGACUGUGUUGGAGGGCUAUGGAGGACGAUCUGUAGACAGACUGAUAUUAGAGUAAAAUUAAUAUUAGCUGUAGUGACAGUAUAAAUAUACAGAACUGUAUGCCUAUUGAUUAUUAGUGAAAAUUAGUAGUAGUAGUAAACAUAGUAAAUUAAGCAAGUUGUUGUGGGUGGGUUUCAACUAACUUUACUAACCAUAACCUAACCUAAGAUAAACUAUUCCAACUUACGUUAACUGAUCAUAAAUUCAUCAUGUUGUCUAGUGGUAGAUGGAUAUUGUAUGUUUAACAUUCAUUCAACAUAAAUGGCAACUUUAAACAUGUUGCAGGUGACAGCUGAUGUGUGUGAAGGCCAAUGGAGAAGUGACAGAACCUUGAGCAACAUUUAACACCCAGCAUGUUACUUCAGCCUCAUGAAACUAUAACAACAACAGAUAUAGAAGACCGGAAGCAUCAUCAAUGAUGAGGGCCUAGUUAGCUUCUCUAAGCUCAUCUUCAAGUACCUGCAUGUGAUGCAUCAGAGGGAAAUGACCAGAUUGCCGAGGAGAUUGAAAUUGAAUCAAAGCAUGUGCCUCCUGCAGUGCAAAUGGCAACUACCGUAUAUCGCGGCCUAUAAGGCCCCCCGAAAUUUCCAUUUAAAAAGUAGCUUUUGAGCUCUAUUUGCUGUAUAAGACCAGAACCCCAAAUGUGACAAUUACCCACUGACUCAGUAGUCCUUUACACACCCUCCUUGGUUUUUUAAAAUAAGG